UACAGAGGGGGCAAGCGUUGUUCGGAAUUACUGGGCGUAAAGGGCGCGUAGGCGGCCUGUUAAGUCGAACGUGAAAUCCCUGGGCUCAACCCAGGAACUGCGUCCGAUACUGGCAGGCUUGAAUCCGGGAGAGGGAUGCAGAAUUCCAGGUGUAGCGGUGAAAUGCGUAGAUAUCUGGAGGAAUACCGGUGGCGAAGGCGGCAUCCUGGACCGGCAUUGACGCUGAGGAGCGAAAGCCAGGGGAGCAAACGGG
rnacentral:rRNA from 1 species